rnacentral:rRNA from 1 species
AUUGAACGCUGGCGGCAGGCCUAACACAUGCAAGUCGAGCGAGCGGCGGACGGGUGAGUAAUGUCUGGGAAACUGCCUGAUGGAGGGGGAUAACUACUGGAAACGGUAGCUAAUACCGCAUACCAUCAGAUGUGCCCAGAUGGGAUUCGCUAGUAGGUGGGGUAAUGGCUCACCUAGGCGACGAUCCCUAGCUGGUCUGCGAGGAUGACCAGCCACACUGGAACUGAGACACGGUCCAGAAUCCUACGGGAGGCAGCAGUGGGGAAUAUGGCACAAUGGGCGAAAGCCUGAUGCAGCCAUGCCGCGUGGAUGAAGAAGGCCUUCGGGUUGUAAAGUACUUUCAGCGAGGAGGCGUUACUCGCAGAAGAAGCACCGGCUAACUCCGUGCCAGCAGCCGCGGUAAUUC